rnacentral:rRNA from 1 species
AACGAACGCUGGCGGCAGGCUUAACACAUGCAAGUCGAACGAUGUAGCAAUACAUAGUGGCGCACGGGUGAGUAACGCGUGGGAACGUGCCCUUCAGUACGGAAUAACCAUUGGAAACGAUGGCUAAUACCGUAUAUUCCCUCCGGGGGAAAGAUUUAUCGCUGAAGGAUCGGCCCGCGUUAGAUUAGGUAGUUGGUGGGGUAAUGGCCUACCAAGCCUAUGAUCUAUAGCUGGUCUGAGAGGAUGAUCAGCCACACUGGAACUGAGACACGGUCCAGACUCCUACGGGGGGCAGCAGUGGGGAAUAUUGGACAAUGGGGGAAACCCUGAUCCAGCCAUGCCGCGUGAGUGUUGAAGGCCUUAGGGUUGUAAAGCUCUUUUACCAGGGACGAUGAUGACGGUACCUGGAGAAUAAGCACCGGCUAACUUCGUGCCAGCAGCCGCGGUAAU